rnacentral:lncRNA from 1 species
GGCUGUGAGUCGGUCUGGCUAAUAGUCUAUACAUAGUGGCUGUGAGUCGGUCUGGCUAAUAGUCUAUACAUAGUGGCUGUGAGUCGGUGUGGCUAAUUGUCUAUACAUAGUGGCUGUGAGUCGGUCUGGCUAAUAGUCUAUACAUAGUGGCUGUGAGUCGGUGUGGCUAAUUGUCUAUACAUAGUGGCUGUGAGUGUGUGAGAGAUAAGAACACAAUGAUUAGUCCUAAAUGUCCUGAGACAUCACACUGAGACAACAGAACAGAGAAGGUCAGAACAGUACAGAACAGAGCAGAACAGAACAGAACAGAGCAGAGCAGGUCACAACAGAAAAGAACAGAGCAGAACAGAACAGAGCAGAGCAGGUCACAACAGAAAAGAACAGAGCAGAUCAGAACAGGUCAGAACAGAACAGGUCAGAACAGAACAGAAAAGAACAGAGCAGGUCAGAACAGAAAAGAACAGAGCAGAACAGAACAGAGCAGAUCAGAACAGAGCAGGUCACAACAGAAAAGAACAGAGCAGAGCAGAACAGAGCAGAUCAGAACAGAGCAGUGCAGAACAGGUCAGAACAGAACAGAAAAGAACAGAGCAGGUCAGAACAGAAAGGAACAGAGCAGGUCAGAACAGAACAGAACAGGUCAGAACAGAACAGAACAGAGCAGAACAGGUCAGAACAGAGCAGAACAGAGCAGAGCAGAAAAGGUCAGAACAGGUCAGAACAGAGCAGAGCAGAAAAGGUCAGAACAGGUCAGAACAGAGCAGAGCAGAACAGGUCAGAACAGAACAGAGCAGAACAGAACAGAGCAGAGCAGGUCAGAACAGACCAGAGCAGGUCAGAACAGUGCAGAGCAGUGCAGAGCACAACAGAGCACAACAGAGCAGGUCAGAACAGUGCAGAGCAGAACAGAGCAGAACAGGUCAGAACAGAGCACAACAGAACAGAGCACAACAGUGCAGAACAGAGACCUUAAUAACUACAGGCUUAUCUCUGACACACAACACCUAAGCUACACUCAUACACAGUCUGACUGUGACACAGGAUUUUAUCAGCGAAACUAAUUCAAAUAUGUCAAUCUCUUACAGAUCCUAAAGUAAACACAGGUAACCUCCAUUUGCACUGUGGUUUCCUUGUUCAUAUGUCUAAGUUCAUGUCAACAUCUCUCAACGUCUAGAUUCCAAACGGUGCCAGUCGGCCCUGAGUGUCAAACAGACCAGGGGACGAGGCCCCGCCGGCUGUCUGAGGAACGGACCAGGGGACGAGGCCCCGCCGGCUGUCUGAGGAACGGACCAGGGGACGAGGCCCCGCCGGCUGUCUGAGGAACGGACCAGGGGACGAGGCCCCGCCGGCUGUCUGAG